CAAAACAUAGCUUAAUUAAAGCAUCUCGCUUACACCGAGAACAUGCCCGUGGGACUCGAGCUGUUUUGA
rnacentral:tRNA from 1 species